rnacentral:rRNA from 1 species
CCAGACUCCUACGGGAGGCAGCAGUAGGGAAUAUUGCUCAAUGGGGGAAACCCUGAAGCAGCAACGCCGCGUGGAGGAUGAAGGUUUUCGGAUCGUAAACCUCUGUCAGCAGGGAAGAACGGUCACUGUGCUAAUCAGCAGUGAAUUGACGGUACCUGCAAAGGAAGCACCGGCUAACUCCGUGCCAGCAGCCGCGGUAAUACGGAGGGUGCGAGCGUUAAUCGGAAUUACUGGGCGUAAAGCGCUCGUAGGCGGUAUGUCAAGUCAAGGGUGAAAUCCCCGCGCUCAACGUGGGAACUGCCUUUGAAACUGGCAAACUGGAGUGUGUGAGAGGAUAGUGGAAUUCCAGGUGUAGGAGUGAAAUCCGUAGAUAUCUGGAGGAACAUCAGUGGCGAAGGCGGCCUGCUGGACCGUAACUGACGUUGAGGCUCGAAAGCGUGGGGAGCAAACAGGAUUAGAUACCCUUGUA